rnacentral:rRNA from 1 species
UCUACGGGUGGCAGCAGUGGGGAAUAUUGGGCAAUGGGCGCAAGCCUGAACCAGCAACGCCGCGUGAAGGAAGAAGGCUUUCGGGUUGUAAACUUCUUUUGACAGGGAAGAGCAGAAGACGGUACCUGUCGAAUAAGCCACGGCUAACUACGUGCCAGCAGCCGCGGUAAUACGUAGGUGGCAAGCGUUGUCCGGAUUUACUGGGUGUAAAGGGCGUGUAGCCGGGCUGACAAGUCAGAUGUGAAAUCCGGGGGCUCAACCCCCGGACUGCUCUGGAAACUGUACGGCGGGAGGGCAGGAGAGGUAAGUGGAAUUCGUAGUGUAGCGGUGAAUUGCGUAGAUAUUAGGAGGAACACCAGUGGCGAAGGCGGAUUACUGGACUGUAACUGACGUGGAGGCUCGAAAGCGUGGGGAGCAAACAGGAUUAGAUACCCGAGUAGUC